UACGUAGGGGGCAAGCGUUGUCCGGAAUCAUUGGGCGUAAAGAGCGCGUAGGCGGCCCUGUAAGUCCGCUGUGAAAGUCAAGGGCUCAACCCUUGAAUGCCGGUGGAUACUGCAGGGCUAGAGUCCGGAAGAGGCGAGUGGAAUUCCUGGUGUAGCGGUGAAAUGCGCAGAUAUCAGGAGGAACACCGGUGGCGAAGGCGGCUUCCUGGACCGACACUGACGCUGAGGCGCGAAAGCCAGGGGAGCAAACGAG
rnacentral:rRNA from 1 species